rnacentral:rRNA from 1 species
GACGAACGCUGGCGGCGUGCUUAACACAUGCAAGUCGAACGGAAAGGCCCUGCUUUUGUGGGGUGCUCGAGUGGCGCACGGGUGAGUAACACGUGAGUAACCUGCCCUUGACUUUGGGAUAACUUCAGGAAACUGCGGCUAAUACCGGAUAGGAUCUCCUGCUGCAUGGUGGUCGUUGGAAAGUUUCGGCGGUUGGGUAUGGACUCGCGGCUUCUCAGCUUCUUGGUGGGGUAGUGGCUUACCAAGGCUUCGACGGGUAGCCGGCCUGGGAGGGAGACCGGCCACAUUGGGACGGAGAGACGGGCCAGACGCAUACGGGAGGCAGGAGUGGGGAAUAGAGCACGAUGGGCGGAAGCCGGAUGGAGGAACGCCGGGUGCGGGAUGACGGCCUUCGGGUGGUAAACCGCUUGCGCCUGUGACGAAGCGUGAGUGAGGGUAAUGGGUAAAGAAGCACCGGCUAAUUACGU